AUGGCCACAAGUUUUUUCCAGGAGCUCUUCACCAAAGAUAAUCAGAUCGAACCUAAUAUUAUCCUUGACCAUGUCCAAGGCCGGGUUAAUGCUGCUAUGAAUGAUACAUUAUGUAAAGAACUCAGUGAUGAUGAGAUUGCAAAUGCUUUAUUCCAAAUCGGGCCACUAAAAGCGCCUGGGGCAGACGGCUUCCCGGCUCGUUUUUUCCAAAGACACUGGGCUACUUUAAAAGAUGAUAUUAUUCGGGCUGUAAAGAAAUUUUUUGCUGAUGGAGUUAUGCCUGAUGGGGUGAAUGAUACAGUUAUAGUCCUUAUUCCAAAGAAGAAAGACCCAGUUAAGUUGAAGGAUUUCAGACAAAUAAGUUUAUGCAACGUUGUUUAUAAAAUCAUAGCUAAGUGUCUGGUAAAUCGCCUUACACCUUUGCUCGAGGAUAUUAUAGCCCCCACCCAAAGUGCCUUCAUUCCUGGGAGGAUGAUUACGGAUAACGCCUUAAUAGCCUUUGAGUGUAUAAAUACCAUGCAAAAGUCAUGUGAUGCCAAAGGAUCUUUUUGCGCUUACAAACUAGAUCUGACAAAAGUGUAUGAUCGUGUGGACUAG
rnacentral:rRNA from 1 species